ACAGCUGUUCCGGAAAUCAAGAAAAAAUAAACAGUUAUUAAAAAUAUAUUAGAGAAUGCUAUAAUUAACAAAAAAAAAAAUUGGCUGAUACAGAAAAAGGCUGUAACUUAAGUUUAAAUAUAUUGUAAGCAUCUGACUUAAUUUACCCUAUAAGAGUAUUUGCCUUCAAUAUUGCGACUACUCAAAUAUAGAUAUUCCAAAUAAUACCAAGAGAGAAUAAAAAUACCAGAAGAAUAAAAAUAAUACCAAUAGAAUAGUCAGAUACCCGUUACUCAGAAAAUGAAAAUGACAACGCGAAGUUGGGAUAUAAAAUGAGAAAAAAUAUAAAAAUGGUUCGAGUUGUGGGCGUUGUGGGUCAAACGCCGUUAUGACCGUUUUGCGAGGAGGGGCGUGUCUAAAGUGUUUUUUAUAUACCGAUAGAAAAAUCAAAACAAAAGUGUGGGCUUGGCAGCUUUUGGCUGUUUGUGGGCGUUAGAGAGUGCGUGGCAACAUUUGGCUUACGCUGCGUCUAUGUCUCUGGAAGCUGCAUGAAAAUAUUAAUAUUCUAGCUUUUAUAGUACCUGAGAUCCCGACGUUCAUACGGACGGAGUGACAGACCGAUGUGGCCAGGUCGACUCGUCUAGUGAUCUCGAUCAAGAAUAUAUUUACUUUUUAUGGUGGGAAACGCUUCCUUCUACCUGUUACAUACUUUUCAACGAAUCUAGUAUUCCCAUUUCGCUCUACAAGUAACGGGUAUAAAAAUGUAUAGAGAGAAAGUGGAACCGGAAUACAUAAAUGUAAUAAAGAUGUGUUUACUUAAAACAAGAA